GAUGAACGCUAGCGACAGGCUUAACACAUGCAAGUCGAGGGGCAGCACAAGGUAGCAAUACUGAGGUGGCGACCGGCGCACGGGUGAGUAACGCGUAUGCAACCUACCUGUAAGAGGGGGAUAGGCCAUUGAAAAAUGGAUUAAUACCGCAUAAUAACCUUCGACCGCAUGGUUGAAGGUUUAAAUAUUAAUAGCUUACAGAUGGGCAUGCGUUCCAUUAGAUUGUUGGUGAGGUAACGGCUCACCAAGUCAUCGAUGGAUAGGGGAACUGAGAGGUUGACCCCCCACACUGGUACUGAGACACGGACCAGACUCCUACGGGAGGCAGCAGUGAGGAAUAUUGGUCAAUGGACGAGAGUCUGAACCAGCCAAGUCGCGUGAAGGAAGAAGGAUCUAUGGUUCGUAAACUUCUUUUAUAGGGGAAUAAAAAAGGGGACGUGUCCCUUCUUGUAUGUACCCUACGAAUAAGGAUCGGCUAACUCCGUGCCAGCAGCCGCGGUAAUAC
rnacentral:rRNA from 1 species